UCACCUGUGUGAAGAAGGCUGCAUAUUUGACUUCGUCCGUAUUUAAAAAUUUAGUGGUUCCUAAGCUUGAGAAAAUUAUUGAUGAGGAGAAAAAGGUUUCUCAUGCUACUCUCAUGGACGACACAGAAAAGGCGAUACAAGACCCAUUUAGUGUCAAGGUCAAGCUAAAGGCAGAUAAUGUUGAUAUAUGCUACCCUCCAAUCUUUCAGAGUGGUGGUAAGUUUGAUCUGAGACCGAGUGCCUCUAGCAAUGAUGAUGCUCUGUACUAUGAUCCUGCAAGCGUGAUUUUAUGUGCAUUUGGCUCACGCUACAACAGCUACUGCUCAAACGUAGCCAGGACUUUUCUCAUCGAUGCAAAUGCAGUGCAGAGUAAGGCAUAUGAAGUUCUCCUGAAG
rnacentral:misc_RNA from 1 species